UAGCAUGCUAGGACUCCUCUAAAUCCAUUUAUAAGGUAUUUAAAUCAAGCAUUAAAGAUCUACCAUUAAAGGGCUCAAGAAGCUCACCUCAAAAUGAGCUCCAAACCAUGGAGAAGAUGAAAAAGACGAAGACGAUCCACCUCCAAGCUUCAAUCUCCACCAAAUCCAUUCUUUUUGGGAGAGAUUUAGAGAGAGAAAGAGAGGCUUCUCUCUUCCCUUCCAUGCGCGUGUGUNGAGCCUUGGGCGGAUAGGGGAAACUCUGUCCGUUCGGCGUCUGUUUGACGUGCUCGGGUCGGGCCAAAUUGGCAUCGGUCCCGGGGCGUGACACUACAAUCGCGAAAAACCCCCUGCAGACCAAACUGCACAAAAACUGCCUCCUUGUACCGGUACACGGGUUCUUGUACCGGUACAAGGCCAACGAAAAUGCAAACCCGAGGCUCGGGUCGCGCGGUCUGCGGCUCUGUACCGGUACAAGCCCGAUGGCUGUACCGGUACAACCAUCAACCCUUGUACCGGUACAAGGCCAGUCUUGUUCCAGUACAAGCCCUGCUGCAGGCUACCCGAGAGCUGUCCAAAAAUUCCGAUUUUGGAAUUUUGGUGCCAAGUCUCACUCCAACAUGCUCGGGAUGCGUGCCAGGGGUCGGAACACUAUCAACGACCCUCCAAAAACUGUGGGAAUGCCCCAAACACAGAUCAAACACUCGAAUCUUGCGAUUUGCUAAGAUCCAGUGUAUUACAAGGGCUCAAGAAGCUCACCUCAAAAUGAGCUCCAAACCAUGGAGAAGAUGAAGAAGACGAAGGCGAUCUACCUCCAAGCUUCAAUCUCCACCAAAUCCACUCUUUUUGGGAGAGAUUUAGAGAGAGAAAGAGAGGGUUUUCUCUCUCCCUUCCAUGCGUGUGUGCGUGUGUUGUGUGUG
rnacentral:lncRNA from 1 species